AGUGGGGAAUAUUGCACAAUGGGCGAAAGCCUGAUGCAGCAACGCCGCGUGAGUGAUGAAGGUUUUCGGAUCGUAAAACUCUGUCCUCAAGGAAGAUAAUGACGGUACUUGAGGAGGAAGCCCCGGCUAACUACGUGCCAGCAGCCGCGGUAAUACGUAGGGGGCUAGCGUUAUCCGGAUUUACUGGGCGUAAAGGGUGCGUAGGCGGUCUUUCAAGUCAGAAGUUAAAUUCUACGGCUCAACCGUAGCCAGCUUUUGAAACUGGAAGACUUGAGUGCAGGAGAGGAGAGUAGAAUUCCUAGUGUAGCGGUGAAAUGCGUAGAUAUUAGGAGGAAUACCAGUAGCGAAGGCGGCUCUCUGGACUGUAACUGACGCUGAGGCACGAAAGCGUGGGGAGCGAACAGGAUUAGAUACCCUGGUAGUCCACGCCGUAAACGAUGAGUACUAGGUGUCGGGGGUUACCCCCCUCGGUGCCGCAGCUAACGCAUU
rnacentral:rRNA from 1 species